GCUCAAUUUCAAGCCCAGUUCAGCGUGUAGCCUUCCAACUUGAUAUUCAUACUCCUAUGUUCAAAAUUCAACAUGGUAUCAGAGCAAGUCAGUGCCUAAUUUUAGUUUCAGUUCAAUUUUUUGGUGUUGCCGCUGCAUUUCAGUUUCAGUUAUCAACCGGAUGUCCCAGUUGCCAAUUAAGGGGGAGUGUUGAAAUAUCAUUUGUGGGAAUAAGUCCCACAUUGGCCAUGUACAAGAAAAUUAAAGGGCA
rnacentral:misc_RNA from 1 species